GCGAUUCCCUGAGUAGCGGCGAGCGAAACGGGAACAGCCCAAACCGUUUGCAUGUUAAAGCCCUGGCGCGUUGUGCAAGCGGGGUCGAGGGACCUGACCUGGCUCCUGCCCGGAGGAGCCAGAGAGUCAAAAAGGGCAAUCUUAGCUGAAUACCAUGGAAAGGGUAACCAUAGAAGGUGAUAGUCCUGUAAGCGAAAAGAUUGUCUCUCUCGGUCAGGCACCCAAGUACCACGGGACACGUGGAAUCCUGUGGGAAUUCGGGAGGACCAUCUUCCAAGGCUAAAUACUAACCUGCGACCGAUAGUGCACAAGUACCGUGAGGGAAAGGUGAAAAGAACCCCUGUUAGGGGAGUGAAACAGAACCUGAAACUGUGUGCUUACAAGCAGUCGGAGCCUCCGCAAGGAGGUGACGGCGUGCCUUUUGCUUAAUGAGCCGGCUAGUUACUCUAAGCGGCGAGGUUAAUCUCUUAAAAGAGAGGAGCCGUAGCGAAAGCGAGUCCGAAUAGGGCGAUUAGUCGUUUGGAGUAGACGCGAAGCCGAGGUGAUCUACCCUUGGCCAGGAUGAACUGCGGGUAACACCGCAGGGAGGUCCGAACCGGUGUUGGUUGAAAACAGCUCGGAUGAGCUGAGGGUAGGGGUGAAAGGCUAAUCAAACUCGGAGAUAGCUCGUUCUCCCCGAAAUAGCUUUAGGGCUAGCCUCGCGUGAAUGGUAUAGGAGGUAGAGCACUGGAUGGCCUAGGGGGCCGAAAGGCCUUCCGAAUCCAACCAAACUUCGAAUUCCUAUAACCACUGCGCGGGAGUAAGACUGCGAGCACUAAGGUCCGUAGUCAAAAGGGAAACAGCCCAGACCGCCAGCUAAGGUCCCAGAAUGCAAGCUAAGUGGGCAAGGAUGUGGAAACGCUUAGACAACCAGGAGGUUGGCUUAGAAGCAGCCAUCCUUUAAAGAAAGCGUAACAGCUCACUGGUCAAGUAUUUCCGCGCCGACAAUGUAACGGGGCUAAGCUUGCUACCGAAGCUGCGGACUCCCGAUUCGUCGGGAUUGGUAGGGGAGCAUUCCGUGGGCAUUGAAGUGGGAUCGUGAGGUCUCAUGGAGCGCACGGAAGAGACUCUGCCGGCACGAGUAGCGAUAACUGCUGUAGAAACCAGCAGCGCCGAAAAUCUAAGGUUUCCUGGGGAAGGUCAGUCCGCCCAGGGUUAGUCGGUCCCUAAGCUGAGGCCGAAAGGCGUAAGCGAUGGAUAGCAGGUCAACAUUCCUGCACCACCUGGAGAACGUUUGUACGAUGGGGGGACGCAGAAGGAUAGGCGUACGUGCGGUUGGAAAUGCACGGCCGUUAAGUAGGAGGAGCUCCUAGGCAAAUCCGGGAGCUCGUUAACUCCGAAUACAACGGGGAAGCAGGGCUUCGGUCUUGUCAACUCGCUGAUUCCACGCUGCCAAGAAAAUCCUCUAAGGAGUUGUCCAGGUGACCGUACCGCAAACCGACACAGGUAGAUGAGGAGAGAAUCCUAAGGCGCACGUGUGAGCCCUCUCUAAGGAACUAGGCAAGUUGACCCCGUAACUUCGGGAGAAGGGGUGCCUCAGUAGGGUGUAGUUGUAUAAACAAAGCCCGAGGAGGCCGCAGAAAAAUGGCUCUUGCGACUGUUUAAUAAAAACACAGGACUCUGCAAAGACAUAAAAUCGAUGUAUAGGGUCUGACGCCUGCCCGGUGCCGGAAGGUUAAGGGGAGGGGUCAUCCUGCUUCGGCAGGAGAAGCUCUGAACCGAAGCCCCGGUAAACGGCGGCCGUAACUAUAACGGUCCUAAGGUAACUCCAGAAAGGAGCUGCCUUUCCCAACAGUAAUGCUGGGACUCAUACUUGGCUGUAUGCGGGAACACCCUAAGAGCUUUGUCUACCAGUCAUACAAGUGACGGUAAAAAUGACAGAGAUUGGGCAAUCCGCAGGAAAUCCUGUAUUUAAGGCAAAUACAGGAGAUCCUCAGAGGCCAUACGCCAGGUAUCCAUCUCGGAGACAGGAGGAAAGUAUGGAAUUGUCUCCUGAUUGGGUAGUAGGUUUUGUAGAUGGAGAGGGAUGUUUUCAUGUGAGCGUUCAAAGUCAUCCUGAGAUGACGGCUGGUUAUCAGGUCUUGCCUGAAUUUGUUGUGGUGCAGCACAUACGGGAUAUUCAGAUUCUUUAUGCUUUAAAAAAGUUUUUUAAAGGUGGCGUGGUUAGAGUUAAUCAUGAUGAACGAUAUUGUUAUCGGGUGCGAAAGAUAGAACAGCUUGAAGAAAUUUGUGAAUUUUUUAUGAGUCACCCUUUGAAGACUAAAAAGAAUGUUGAUUUCAAAAAAUUUCGGAAGAUAAUCCUCUUGAUGAAAGAACAAAAACACCUCAACAAAGAAGGGCUAAAACAAAUAAUUGACCUGGCCAUGCAAAUGAAUACCACUGAACGUCCUGCUCUAGAAAGAGUUAAAAAAACUCUCGAGAAUGGAUAAAGAUAUGGUCCACUCCAGACAGAAAUGUCCGGGUAAAGUGAGCGAAAUUCCUUGUCGGGUAAGUACCUGAACUUGCCCCUUUCCCAAGCAAUUGGGCUUGAAACACCGGCUCAUAUCGGAGAAGCCCUCCUACCUCGUGAAUGUGAGGUGUGGGGUAAUUCCGAGGGAACCUCUGGCCCCGAGGCCAUUGGACCCGUAACGACUGACCCGAAAGGGGAGGCGCACAGUCCUCCUGUGCGCAACACGCCGGCCCUCACGUUUGUUUGGUUCCUAUGGAGUCUUCCUUCAAAAAAGGAGGAGAGAUGCAAUUAGAUCCAUGGUAUGUCACUGGGUUAUGCGAUGGCGAAGCGAGUUUUAGUAUAAGCUUCAAUCGACGCUCCAAGCUGAAAGUUGGUAUUGAAACGAGACCUUCAUUU
rnacentral:rRNA from 1 species